rnacentral:tmRNA from 1 species
GGGGGCGACCGGCUUCGACGUGGGUGGCGAAACUCCAGGUGCAUGCCGAGUUGUAGGUUACUCGUUAAACUGCUUACAAACUUAUAGUUGCCAACGACGACAACUACGCUCUGGCGGCUUAAUCCCGCCUAACCUCCGCCUGGCAUGUGCUUGUGCAUCCAGAUUCGGGGGACGCGCUCACAAGCUCGCGAUUCCGGUGUGCUCCAGGCCGGUUCGCUAAAACGUGCUGAAGCUGGCUUGGCGCCUUCCCUGCCUGUCGGGUAGCGCACGGCGAGAUACAAUGACACGGCUAAGCAUGUAGAUCCUGUAGCGUAGUGCUUGCGGACGCGGGUUCGAUUCCCGCCGCCUCCACCA